AUCACACAUUAUCAUAUCAAAAAUCUGACAGACAUGGAAGGCAGGUUUUCGCCAUGAAUUUCCAAAUUAUAUCUUGGAGGUACCACUGUGCUAUGUUAUUCCACCAACAAAAAAAAAAAACUUCCUCUGUUGUUCUUUAUGUUAAAUUAUCAAGGAAUAUUUGGACAACACAGGUCAAGAGAAAAAAAGACCCUGUCAAAAAAGUAGUGUUUGUUCUCUCCCUAAAUUAGCAAAGUUAAAAUGCCCCACCCAAAAAAGUCUGUUCUGAAUACUUUAGUCCACACUGUGUGUAUGCACAUAUUUAUGUGACUGCAUCAUUACAGGAAUGUCUCCCAUCAUUGAUACACAAUAUUAUUCUCAGGGACUAAUUGGACUAAACAUUGAGCUUCUUUGUGCUGUGAUCAAAUAAUUCUGUCCAUGUUAUGAUUAUUAUCGUUUUAAAUGAAAUGUCAGGUUUGUCUCCCCUGCCCAAUCCUAACGAUGGACAGUUUUUUGAAUUCUCUUGUUGUGGAAUGUGGACUCUUGAGACGCCAUUUUGGAUGCAAUGGUUAUGCCGCACCAAGUUCAAAGAAGCCACUAAUAACAUCACAAAUCUGUAAGUGUUCUCGACAGGCAUAUUGCAAUUUAUAACUGCAAACGUCUCAAAUGGCUUUAAAUUUUCCAAAAUUAAUCUGUUUGCAUCCAUGUUGUCUCAAUUAAUAGCGAUGGAUCAUACAUUCUAUUACCACAGAAAAAAUGCUCUCUUGCACUAAUUACUGUACUUGAGUCAAUAAUACAGCCUGCUAAUUUUUAAGUGAUAUGAAGGGGAAAGUGUAUUUAAAAAAAAAAAAUUUUAAAAAAAAGCAAUUACAUGUGUUUUAUUAUAGGGUCAGGGCCACUUUUUUUUAUACAGCCCUCUGAGGGUCAUGCAAAGUUAAUGAAAUAUGAUCCACAUUUUUGGGCUUUUAAAAAUAUUUUUAUUUGAAGAAAUGCAUGGCAGACUGCAUCUUUUGGCCCAGCCAUUUUAGUCAUGUUUAUAUGUGAAAGUGCAAAUAAGCUUCAUUUCAUCGCAGUUGAUGGAUGGAUGUUUUAUUACUCACAGCAUGUUUUGCUUUGUUUUGUUUUUUUAUGAAAAUGUUACAAGUCAACUUAGAGAAGUUUGUUAUUUAAAAAAAAAAUCACUGGUCAAGAAAUUCAAGUGGUAUUACACUGAAAAGGGGUCAAGUUUACAAAAAAAUGGUCCCAUGCGUUUGUGGGACUUUACACUGAAAGGAAUAUGAUUAAACACACUCCACGUUUGCAACUACUGCAUUAAAAACAUUCAAAUGCUAUUCCUUAUUAAAAAAUGUCAAUACAGCAUUUAUUUAAUGAAUGAAUCUAACGGUAUCCUCACUGUUCCUGUUAUUCCAUAUGCAGCCUUUUUUUGUUACGUGCCAACUUGAAUCAGUGUCAUUUUUAUAUUCACAUUUCUCAACUUUUUUUUUCUUCUCAUUUUGCCGUGUUGUACAUGUAGAAUAGGCCACGUGGAAAGUUAAAAACUGUGAUUUGGUGUGUAUGUGUUUGUGAGUUGAAAUGCAAACAUGUCGCUGGGUAGCAAUUGAAUAUUGGGCUUUUGUGGGUGUGUGUGACCAAUGGCGAAUAAAUUCCAUAUUUAAAUGAAUUAAAACCGGAAGUGUGUCCUCAGUUCUUUGAACCAGAUCACCGGCACAUGGAGGUUAUAAGCACUACUUAAUAGGCAUUAGUUUAUUUACGGUCAAUCAAACAGUAUGGUGGCAUGUUGAAAACAGUUUUAUUUUACAUUUUGCAAUCAUUUCUACUCUAUAUUUUUCAUUCUAAUUGUUUUUCUAUAAACGUCAUUAGUUAUUGCAUAGUUAGUUCUGCAGCUUUAUUUUCAAAAUCUGUUCAUCUGAAAAAAUUGGAUGAUAUUCAAAACAAUUCUGCAUGUCUACAAAAAUAUUCUAUUUGGCUUCAGUGUGAUGACAAGUGCAGAAUCCUCCAAAAAGAAUCCACGUUUUCAACAAUCAGGUCUACCAAACUGGGUCAUUGGUAGUGUAGCGGUUCACAUAGCUUGAUUCAAAGUCUGUGUCUCCAUUCACAAUUGUCCUGUGAUGAACCGGCUCCAAUUCCCUGUGACUCUCAAGGGGAUAAGCGCUAUUCAAAAUGAGUGAAGGGUGAAUCCUCUUAAUUCAAUCCCUUUUUGCGCCAUAAAAUGUCCAAAAAGUUGAAAGUCUUGCAAUAAAAAAAAAGUAGAACACAAAAUCUAUGUGACACAUGGUGACUUCCAGGUUGUCAACAUGUCAAAAUGAAUGCUCCGAAGUUGUUUCAUUUGAAAUACCCCCAAAAAUAAA